UCUUUGUCGUUUACAAGUGUCGAAAAGGAGCAGAUUUCUAAGAAAAACGGAACUAUCACUGUUUUUGGACGUGAUGCACGAAAUAAAAUGACAAAAACACUUUUUGGGACGUGAUGCACGAAAAUAAAAGGACAAAAAUGUGGUCUUCGUCAUGUCAACUUUCCAUGACGAUGACGUCAUCAUCAGUCAUGCUCUCCACCCCAUGCUGUUUGAUGACGGGUUACCUACUGAAAAUAAAAAUGGAAUGACUGGAAGCUGAAAUAGAAGAGUUAAACUUGUCUAAAUUUGAGACCUAAGCUAGCCAUCGUAACACCAAAGUUUUGCUUGUGCUGGACCUCCUUUCAUCAGCAAGAUUCAGAGUAUCAUCGCUUAGAUAAACAACAUCCCGUUUACUUGGAGAACCUUCCAGUGUCGACCGAGUUAAGGAUCUCUUCAAUCCCCCUUUCUUUAAAUGUCCUCGUGUACGCCCAUGUGAAUGUGGGUGUAUUCACGAGGACUCCCUUUUACCUAUUCC